rfam:Equus caballus chromosome 1, whole genome shotgun sequence.
UUUUAAAUAUAACUGUGUCCCAUGCAAUAUUUGGGACAUAUUUAUACUAAAA